UGACCCAUAGAAUCCUGCAGUGCUGUGGGUACUGGAGUGGAGCUGCUUCCUGCAUGAUUUUGGCAAAAGGAUGCAGGAAGCAUUUGAGUAGGGUACUGAGGGAUGAAGAGGAGCUCGCCAGAAAAGCAUCUCUUAUGAAGUGAGGGUGCUGGGGGUGAGCAGGGACCUCCUGGGCUUUAGCCUCCCUGGCCUUGUCUCUGGCUAAAGCAUUUUGGGUGAACCAGUCCCCAGCACUGUGCCCGUCUUCCUACAUGAGUCCAUCCAGCUGACAGAGCCACUGGGGAAAAUUCCAGAAGCAAACCAGCCUACCUCACACACAAUUGACUCAGGAUGGGUCAGAGAUCAAGGAGUUAAGACCCACAGCUGUAAACCUCUUGGAAGACACAGCUGAAUCUCCAUGACCUUGUGUUUAAAGAAAGAUGCUUAGACAUGAUGCCCAGAGCAGUAACAAAAAGAGAAAAGAGUACAUACAUUGGACUUUAUCAAAAUAAGAAAAAAUGGCAUCAGCUUAGCCCAUGAAGAUGGGAGAAAUCCCAGGGAGCAGGAGGAUGCCCAGUGUGGCCGUUCCAUAGAGGUGCAGGCAUGGGGUCAGCGGGGUCCCUGGCCUGCACCGCAGUGAGCAGGAGGCGUUGCCCACACAAAUCCUCUGCACAGAUGUUGGCAGCUCACGGGUCACUGCAGAGGAGAGUAGGGGCAGCCUACACUGGGGUGUUCAUGCAGGAGUGUCUUUAUUACCCAGCAUGCACAGCAGCCAGCCAUGCCAAGACUCAGGGGACUGCGGAGAGGAUCUGGACCCACCGGGCUGCAUGCUGAUUGGCUGUCUGGAGAGGUAGACUUGGAGACGGGAGGUCUCAGGGCUGCCGGCAUAGGGAAUGGACUUGGGUUCCCCUGCUUUGGCCCCACUGCCGACCCAUCGCAUGGCUCUGAAGCGUCUGGAUUCAGGUGAAGGAGAGAAGUCCCAGCACAGAGGGCCUCACCUGUCAGAUAAAGGGGAAAAAACAGCCCCAUUCCUGGAAAGCUACGUAUUGCCAAGACUGACUCAAGAAGAAACAGAGAGUCUGCGUAGACCUGUGACAAGAAAAGUUAAUGAUUCAGUAAUCAGAGGGAAGGAUACAGUUGCCUAAAUUCUCUGCAAAGUGACAAACUGAAUCCGGUCGUGGCCGAGAAGGGACACGUGGACUUCAUCUCAGGGAUGCUAAGCUGGUUCAGUGUUAACGAAAGUCAAUCCCACGACACACAGUACGAAGAAUAAAGGAUAAGAACGUGUGAUUCUCAGUAGCUGCCGAAAAAUCGAUGAACAAACCCCUGCAUCUUCAGCGUGAUGUAUGGUGUCCAGGAGCUCUGUACUUAGUGGUCAAGACACAGUGCACCGCCCCUUGGAUCAGGAACAAGACAGGCUGUGCUGGCUCAGACCUCAGUCCGAGCCACCAGGAAGGGGAGGGAAGCCUCUGCCCUGGUGUCUGAGUGACGCCCUCCAGGUCAAGGACAUGUGUCACGUCCGGUACCUUCUGUGUUAAUGACAACUCCUUCGUCUUUGCUUUUAAUCAGGAUCUGUGCGUAAUGAGCAUUCCUGAGCAGAAACAGCUGUGGCAAAUCCUCGAGGAAAUUCUCUCCAGGAAACUAAGAGCUGAUGGUCCCAGCGUGUGGCGGUGGCAGCCUGCGCACCCUGAUUGUAGCCACCAGCGGGGACACUCCUGCCUCCCGGGAAGGGCCUGUGAUGCCAGGGGGCUAUGAGCUGCUUCCAUCCCACUCCACACCUGGCGCAGGUCCUCAGCUCGGGGUGGCAAGGCCCCGUGACCACCCCAGUCCAGUCACUACGUCCAGUGAGGGUCCCGGGCUCUGCGACACAGCAGGCUGGCUUCCUUGAGUGAUGUCAGGUGGAGCCCACAGCCCUGGCACCGAGGAAGGAGGCUGCCAGGAGGUUUGCUCAGCCGGCUGCUCCUGGCUCUCUGAGUGGAGCAAGCACGGUGACUGCCGCAGCCUCGGGACAGCCACAGGUGAGAGUCUGGUGCCUCGUCAGUGAGGACGGCACGUGCAGGUUCACACAGUGCCAGCUCCGGCCAGGGGCCUGCAAUGCAUUGCUUCUGAAUGUUUUCCCAAACACCCAUGGGGGGGGGGGCAUGGCUGUCACCAUGGAGACGAUGUGCCAGUUACACACAGGAGCUGAACCGAGUGCAAGGCAGGGCCUCCCCGGCUCACAGCUGGAGAGCACUGGUGCUGGGGUCCGAGUGCCAUAUGGAAGGCUAUUGUCCCCCUGGAAACACAUCUGCAGCUCUGAGCUGGUCCAGACCCGGCAUCUGGACCCAGGGAGAAAGAACGGCUGGUAGGGAUGUGACAUAAAGGACUGGGGUGCCCUGGAGGCAGGGCACACGGGGACCGUGACAAAAGCCCUCAGAGGAGGGAACACAGCCUGGGACACAGCAUCCAGGAAGGGGGUGGCAUCUGUGGCCAUCAUCCUUGGGGGCGAGGGGCACAGCCAGGUGUCAGAGCCCUACUCAGAGCAGCACCUUCCAGACCUUGAGAUGGAGGGCCCGGGCCCGUGCCCAUCGGCCCCGGAGGAGAGACACAGGCAGCAGCCUGCUCCUGACUUCACCCACCACCCACACGUGGCACCUGUAAGACCCAAGUUUUCUGAUCAAGGUGGUCUCCCUCUCUGACCUUUACUCAGAAUAUAAAGAUCAGGUUUUCUGGGCAGAGAGCUGUAAAAAUUCCAUUCUGUAUAACAACCUCCUCCCUGUUUUUAUGUUCCUCUUUUUCUGACCCAAGGAUGAACCUAUCUUCCCGAUAGUUGCUUAAGAUAGUUAGAAAAUCAUAUGUUCAAUCACAUGCUUUGUUAAAUAUAAUAAUUGAUUAAUCAAAUGUUCUUUGGAAAAAGGAACUUGACCCUUUGAACCUCCCCUCCCUUAGGUAUUAGUAAUUUCCAGAAAGUACCCUCCUAUUCCAGUAAGUACCCCAAUAAUACCCAAUAGUAAUCAAAAGAUAAAAAUAGCAUCAAUAAAAAGGGAAAGCCUCCCCAACCCUAUAUGAUUGUGCUUCAAAAAUGGGUCAGGACUCUCGUUUUCUGAUCCGCUCAGUCAGUGAAGUAAGAGGGUCCAGGCUCGAGCUUGGAAUAAACUCCUCAUGAAAUUACAUCGGACUCAACUCCUUGGUGGUCUUUGGGGACAACAGCACCCAUGUCUUAAAAAUGGUCUCUGUCUCUCACCAGGCUUUGGGUGGGAGAGUUUUACCCCAGCAGCCAGGGUCCAGCACUGUGGAGCCCGUGGUCUUCGGGACCCCCUGUGGAGAGAGGAGUUUGCAGUCCGGCCC